UAGGGAAUUUUCCACAAUGGGCGAAAGCCUGAUGGAGCAACGCCGCGUGCAGGAUGAAGGCCCUUGGGUCGUAAACUGCUUUUAUGUGCGAAGAUUAUGACAGUAACACAUGAAUAAGGGUCGGCUAACUACGUGCCAGCAGCCGCGGUCAUACGUAGGACCCAAGCGUUAUCCGGAAUUACUGGGCGUAAAGAGUUGCGUAGGUGGCAGAGUAAGUAAGAUGUGAAAGCGUGCGGCUCAACUGCAUAGA
rnacentral:rRNA from 1 species